AAAGUCGGCAAACGGCGGCUCCGUUUGUUCUCACCAAACGCUAUCCUGUCCCCACUCGAGGCCCCACCUUCAUCUCCUUCUCUCUCCCUCCCGUGCCUAGGUUAGCUCCGGCCAAAGCUUUACCUCCUCCGGCCGAGAAGUAAACUGGACGGGCAUCUACUUCCACAUCGGCGGGUGCUUACACCCCUGCCCGCCCCCGAUCCCAUUCAUCUUAAGACCCCAUCAAAUCCGGAGCCUUCCAGCAUAAAGGGCAAGGGCGGAGGCCGGAGCCUGUCACCACAGAAUGCUACCAGAGGCCGUGCGAUUGGGAUCGGAGCGACCUCCAUCACGCCGUCGGACGAGCCACGGAGGACGAUGACAGGGUUGAAGGGAAGGAGUGGUUGUCGCCAGGAGCAGCGGAUCUUUGUGUCGGCGGGAAGGGUCUCAACCUCCUGGAGGAAUAAUGGCGUUCUCUAGCCACAGCGUCACCGGCAGCUGGGAGUGGCGCAGAUCUAACCGGAGCCAAUCUAGGUUAUGGGAGGGGAGUCUCUGCAGCUGGAGGUAAUCUCCGUUAGUUUCCUCAAAGUUGACUCGUUUGACUCGCUAGUCACCUGCAAAGCGAGAGACGUGGCACGUAAAGAGAAGGCCUUCGUACGAUGCAUUAUAGAUGGGCCAUCUAAAGAAUAUUUUUUUAUUCGGGACAUACCAUGGUGCUAUCGGCAUUGCGAAUAAUAACUUCGCCAGGAGCUCCCACCCCCAUCCGGUCUUCCUCGGAGCUCUUUCCAUCUCCAUUCUUGUGCCAUUCCCUUGGGCAUCCCAAGGAGCAAGGACAACUGCAUCAAGGUCCCCUGCCCAUCCUUCUUCACAACAUUUAUUUCUCCACCCAUCUUGUUUACCUACGAACCAUCAUAAGCAAUCCACUAUGUCGCUUCUUGGUUAGCUGGUUACUCUUCAAGGAUUCAAGUAUUUUGCUUUUAAUAAAAAUGUCAGUGGCAAGUGCAUCUUUCAAAUUGUUCAUGAACACAUGAGACAUUGUAAUCAAUAUUUACAAAAGAAUCAAAUGAUCAUUACAAAUUAUUUGCUUCAACUAGCCAAGUAGCACUCAUGAAGUUUAUAUAAACUUAUCAAUAUGCAGACACAGCCAAUGGCAAGAAAGCAAAUAGAUGCAGAUAUCAGUAUAACCAAUGUUGUAAAGCCUAUUUGGUCAACCUUUCCGAGUAUGUAUUUCCUUGGAAUGAUGAUUACCCCAACCUGCAGAAAGUUUCAAUUACAAUAAAACUUUCAUGGAAAGCUGGAAGCAUAAAUUGCCAGUGAUGUCAUCUUGUGCAACAAAGAAAAGAGACUGGCGAAACUUAUCUUAUAAUAUGAACCCUAUUGAAGACUUGGAAUUCUUACCAAGGGAAGCCUUGUCAGAUUUAGGAAAAAUGAAUCUAUGUAAUAUCGCUGAUUACCCAGCAAGACAUUCUCAGCAUGAACUUCAUGAUUGAUUGGAAACUUAUUGCCAUAUGCUCUCUGUAACCACUCUGCUCCUGAUCUUAUAAUAUGAUCUUCGAAAUCAGUAGCCAUCAUAAGCUUCCGACCUGUUGUAUUCCUCAAUAGUGGAGCAUCUGUAGAUGUUGCAAGUACAUAACCUUCCAAUGAAGUCAAAUACAUGUAGCCACUGUGGAAGUCUACAAGUUCCUUCAUCAGCUGACCAACGCUUUUAAGUGCUGUUGUGACACCAACGGCUGCCACUAUGCUUCCUCCAGAAGGAUGCCUGACUGGUAAUGCUGCUGAAAGCAGUGGUGAGUCUGUAAACUUGCUCACGGCUACACGCCAAGAAGCAGCACCAUCUUGUACUUCUGCGAGACCUGCAAUCUUAAUCAGAUCAUCUGGGGGAAUUUGCCUCCGAUCACCCUUUUUUUCACCAGUGACAGGGUCAAGUCUUUCUCUAUACCAAAUGGCAGAGGCAGGUCUGUCUCUAGGUUUGUGAAUAUGGCCAUGAUGUGCUUUUCCUUGAUUGACUGAUGAAUUUACUAGUUCACAGUAGAUGUAGAAUGUAGUGUUGCUCCGGUGGUCUCUAUGAAAUGCCUGGACAAAUCCAUUUCUGUAACUUAUGGUUAUUGCAUCAAGAGCUGUUCUGCUUGAAAAAAGUGCCCAUGUUACAUCCCUCAUCAUUUGGUGUAGCUGUCAAGAUCAAUGAUACUAAUUACUUUGAAAUGUUUUUUAUGGGAAAGCGAUUUUGGAACAAAAUGAUAAAUAAUGAGUAAUAUAUCGACCUCAGCUGGUUCCUGGGACAAUGGUUUCUCAUAAUGACUGAUGACAUAUUCGGAUAGCUUAACUUGCGCCAUUGUUAUUUCUACAGUGGAAUUCAGGAUGUUCCACACUCUUAAAAUGGGUCGCUGUAGAAGUUCAUAGCGAAGGCCAUAAGCUAAGCUAUUUAUAGAGUUCAUUGUAUAAACCUUUGUAAAAUGCCAUGUCAGCAUGGUCAGCAUCCCAAUUAAAAUAGCGAGCAUGACCUGCAAUUAGAAGAGAGAAGAAUAGUAGGUAUAUACAACAUGUAUGUAAUUUCUAUAAAAGCAUAUUCAUUUUGGUGCAAUAUAAAGACAUUUGAAUAAAAGUUGCUGCUGCCUUAAAUUUCCCAAAUUAUUUGUUUACAGUUUGUAACACAUUAGCAGCAUUAAUUGGGUCAGUGUUCUGUAUUGAGCAACCACAUCUUCAAUCAAAUUAAUGAUAUGACACAAUCAUGCAAGAAGUCGUGUCCUCACCAAUAUCAUGCAAAAAAGAGAGGGUAGGAAGGGAGGGAGAGAGAGCUCAGGCAACGUAUUCAUGAUAACUUAGUCUUUAUGCUUUUGUACUGUAACAAGCAAAUUAGGAAAUGUAUCAUUGGAUGAAUACAUUGGUUCAUUGGCAGCUUAGUGGCCAAAUUCCUGGAUCACACCUUUUGCACAUCAUACUAGGAAUUAGUUAUAUAAAGAUUAUGUAGAAAUUAGACAAGCCUCAAGUGUACCAGGUCUGUCAUUUUACUGACAAUUAUGUGAAGCAACUUAGGAAAAGAUGUAGGACCAAAAUAUUUGGCCAGCUGGGAACACUGAAAUAUAUGGAAAAUAAAGUGGACCCUCAGCAUAUGGGGUCACUAUCUUAAAUCUGUUGUUUUAUGCUUCCAAAAUCAUGGAAUUCUUUCUUCUUCUUUUUUUUUUGAAUGCAUUCUACUGCAUUUCUGGAUCCCAAACUGCAGUGUGCCUGCAUCUGCAUGGAUGAAGUUUAUUCACUAACAGUGGGUCACAGGCAUGUGUCAUGGAGUUUUUUUAUCUACAACACUUGUGCCUUCCCAAGGAAGUAAUAUUUACUUUCCGAUUCAUAAUGAUCUUCUUCAUUAUUCCUUUUCCUAGUAUUCAGUCUCAUGUAUUCAUUUGAGGCAAGAUAUCCAAAUUGUUUUCUUCCGGAAAUCAAAGCAAGGAGCCAGCAAAAUCCCUUACCAUGAUGGCCAGGCGUGCAACAAAGAUGCUGUAGUAGGAGGAGAGACAGCGGGUAGUUUGGUAGUUGAAUUCCUCUUCUUCUGGCUGCCCAUGGAUAAUUUUCUUCUGUGGAAGGAUGGAUGUUCUGUUCUCUGUGCACUUGAUGAAGGUCUGGAGCUUCUUGAAGAGCUUUGCCAAUGGCUUCAUCAUUGCUGAAGGAGUCUGAUGUGCUCCUGCCAUGCUUCAUCUACCCAGAACAUGAGAUAAAAUAUUCUGCACUACUAAAUAGCCAUUGUGGUGAAGCAAUUGAGCUUUGUCUAUUCCCACUUAUUGAACAUGGAUUCUGGAGCGACUUUCAAAAAGCGGUUCUCUCAUCUUAUUUUUCUUCCAUAUUCUCUCGGCUAUUGUUAUUCUUUAGAAGUUGGCUGGCUGGUGGACAGAAAUUUAAAAUGAUAGAGAACAUUAAAAUUACUGUGAUGACCUUGACUAAUCUUGGAAGUAAGUAUCUUUUCUGAUCCGACUUAAUUUUAGUGUCAAGGGUGAUUUUUGGUUGGAAGGAAUUCUCUAUUGGAUGCUACAUUAGGGAGUUCUGACUUGUUGGGUUAAGUUACCUGUGAACAAAGACAGAGAAAGAGCAAAAUAACUCAUAUUUGUUGUCCAAAACUAAACAAAGAUCGCAUUGGAUGUCAUUAUCAUGUGGCCAUUUUGAUGUCUCCAGUCUAUAGCUGACCUUGACUCCACAAUCAGAUGGAUGUGCACAAGAUGUUCAGCUGGAAUACUUUAUAUAUUUUUUGGUCCAUUCAGUAUGAUUGGUAACAUAGAAGAUCCAACUACUUUCUGGCGAAGAAGACAUACUACCAUAGUAUGGUAGCAUCUGAGUAUUUUUGGCUGCUUUAAUGUUCUGAAAAUAGAGGGAUAAACUAUUCCUAGGAGUGGCUUUGGACAAAAGGAUAUUUGCAUUGUCGAUGGCUACCAGCACACCACCAAAGUCUCUUGAGACCAAUUUUUCAAGAGUUUUCGAUCGACGCAGAAUGAUCAAUUGGAAAAUUUGCAUCUUAAUUACUGUCGACAAAAGCUACUUUGCUUUGCUAGGUUGCAACGGCUAGGUGAAUAAUACGGCUCCUGUGGAUGGUCAUGGUGAAACUUGGGGUGUACAAAUGAUUCGGUUAAUCGAAAAUUGAAUAAUUAUUUUUGUGUUUGGUUUGGAUUUUUUUUGAAAAUUUCAGUUUUGGCUUAUAACCAAAUUGAAAUUUUUUUAAUCGGUUCGAUCUUUGAUAUUUUAUUUAAUAAUUUUGAUUAAUCAAAAAUCAAAAUUAUUUGA